rnacentral:tRNA from 1 species
GGAUAUAGUUCAAAGGAUAGAACAUCGCAUUGUGGUUGCGAAAAUCCGGGUUCGAUUCCCAGUAUU